AAACACACGAUUUUUACACACACACGCCAAUGCUCUCGCGCUCACGGGGUACACAACCCAGCCGCCACGACACUCACGCGUCUUCGAACGACGACGACGACAACGACGCGAAGCGCCAGAACGACGUCAAGUGCCAGAACAACGCGUGCAAUCGCCUAAGCCACACACGGACAGCGACACAAUAACCACUGCGAUACAACAUUCGUGUUUGUGUUUCUUUUUUCGAAUUUUUCAGUUACGAAUCUAUCGCGUUUUCGUUUGCCGGCGCCACCCCGAGCCCCAUAAGCGCCCUCGAGACUACGCCGCACGAAUUUUUCGAAAGCACCGAUUUUGACGGUCUUCCGACACGCCGCUCUCUCUAUCGCUCACUCUCACUCACUCCCUCUCCGACUACUUCGUCCUCUGUCUCAUCCACACUGCUGCCGGAGUAGAACGUUUUAGUGAUAUUUCGUUACAAUAUUUUUUUGUCGUUCGACGACAUAAUAUUACCAUAACCAGCACCUCCGUCGUAUAGCACGUCGAAGACGAUCGUCACGAUGACGCUGACGCCGCGGUUACUGGUAGCCAUGGUCUUGCUGUGGGCGGUUACCGCAGUGGUGCAAUCUCGGCCCGCCACCGACUCCGGAGAACCGGAAAUAGAAGAGUCCGUGGAAUCGCCCGAACCCUCGGUCGUCAUGUUUCCAAUACGCCAGCUCACCGAUCCGAAUUCGCCGUUCGCCAGGAUGCUAAACAAUCAGCUGCUAAAAAUGUCAGAUCGAGACCUACAGGCCCUGGAAACGGGACUGCAGGCCGGAACUAAAACCGAACCCGGCCCUAGCGAUGACCAGGACAUGAUGAUGGGGGACAUGCCGUCGGCAGACGAUCCGCAGGACUCUUCUUCGCCGGCCACUUUUGGACGAGCCACAGUGAUGCCCGACGAUUACACCGACGAAAUGUCGCACAGAGAAAGCCCCGAGUCCGCAGAUCCCGAGGUCAGAGACAAAAAUCUCAGAAUUCAAACCAUUCACAAUCAGAUGAUCAGCUUUAUGGGAAGGAAUAACCAAAUACUCUCUCCGAGCCCAAUGAUGAAAACGGACCCGAAUUCAAUAAUACCUAUGGCACAAAAAGACGCCAUAAGAAUAUUUUACGACAAUUUGAAUAACUUUCCAACUUAUCCAUCUGACACGUUUACUGAGAAAACGCAAAGCUUUUAUCCUUCAUGUGAUUUGCCGAAGCACACGAAUGAAGAGGUUUGGAACACGAAGGAAUCGAUGAAUUUAAUGUUCAAUUUUAGUUUACCCAAGUCGUCUAAGGGUAUCACAGUAAACGUGAAUAUGGCUAGACUCAGGCUGUACAAACAAUUCGUAUCUUGCUAUUCACUAUCGAGUAAUGAGACCGAUGAUUCUCAACCAUGUCAGCCGUCAUUAUUUGUAGAAACUUUGAAGCAGUCCAACAGUAAUUUGUCUACAACCGGUGUAGUACCGAUAAUAAUGGACGAGAGACAGGUUCGCGUAUCAAUUUACUCGUACACCAGAUCACUUAAGAGGAAGAGAGUAAAGAGGAAGUUAUUGGACAGCCGCAUGGUACCAUAUUACAGCGAAAAAUGGACGGAAUGGAACAUUCGUAACGCAGUAAAAGCUUGGCAUAGGAAUCCAGUUCGUAAUUACGGAAUCAGUAUUGAAGUUGAAGACGAAGAUGGCAACUUGCUUCCCGUCGCCAAAUUUUUUAGACCCAUGAACUGUUCAGGAGACGCACAAAUGAUGACCCCGAAGCCAGUGCCCGGGUUCCUGAUGGAGGCGGUGCACAACGGUUACGGCGUACCGAUCCGCAACCCGACCGCCACGACCAACAGCAGUAACACCGACGCGCUAGCGCUCAGCUUUAACAUGCACCUUUAUCCGAUAAUGGACGUUACCACGGUUGAGGUACCGGAAUCGGAGGCGAACAACGCCUUGCUUUACCAGUACGCGAAGAACGCGUUCGAACAGGUGGGCGGCAGAGUCGCGGUCUCGUCGUCCUAUUUGCCGGAGGGACAGGAAGACCAGGCCACCGAGUUGCAGCACCGGAUCCGGCACGGUAGCCGGCAGCACCGGAACAACGGCACCGUACCCGGAAGUCUGUCCAGAGACGGACACGAGCUCCGCGACCAAAUAAUUCCGCAAAGCAUAAUCCAGCGGAAUUUGCAGCUGAAGUCGACGACCACCGAGAUCCCGGACUAACGGGGGGUGGUGUCAGGUGGCGAUCAACGGCGGACACGUCGAAUCUUAAUAUAUUAUACUUGUGCACAGGGUGGUUCUGAAACAUCUUAUUUUGGGUCGUUGGCGCAAAAUAAAUAAAAGAGAGACUUGCUUGGAUAAACCUCAUCCACGCUACCAAACAAACAAUAUCAUUUACGGUAAUCUUAAGUCUUCGCCCAUGCUUAUAAUCUAAGCGAUUUGCACUAUUUUAUUUUGUAAUUUAAUCUUAUGGUUUAUAAUAGGCAUAUUUAUUUUACUAUAUAUUUACUUGAAAGUAAAUGAAUACAUCUACUCAGCAAUAGCCAGAUAACACAUUAACCUGUUUACGAUUGAAAACUUCACCCUGUAUACACGUAUAAUAUUAUUGUAUAAUAUGAUAUGCUACGUGCAAUGUUUUCUGUGUGCACAAACAAUUUUUAUUAACAUAACGAAACAUCGAUAAAGCCACCGGGAAAUCACAACACUUCACAAGUAUAAGUAACACGUCUUCGAUCCGUGUCCGUUUCGUCUUAGGUCCGCACAAGACAUACACACACACACACACACACACACACACACACACACAGAUUUCUUUUCAAAUGACAUAUAUACUGCACUUCAAACCCAAUUGUAGUUUUUUUUUUCGUGUUAUAUAUAUUAUUUAUUAUAUUGUUGAGGUGGAGGGACAGAAUACUAUAUAAUAAUGUUCAUGCAUUUACGUAAUAGUGUGUCGAUUGACAAUUAAGUAUAUAACUUUAAUUUAUAUUACUAUUAUUAUUAUUAUUAUUAUUAUUAUUACUAUUAAUUAUUUUAAUGUUUAUUGUACUAACACUAUGUAAAAUGUUCCUAUAGUUUUUAUAAUUAGCGACGACUAGUCUAAAAUAUCAGAUGUGUUUUAGACAGUGGCCGUUCUUUACACAUUACCUACCUACCUAAAUCCGUUAUAAACGCGAACGGUUAAUUAGAAAAAUCGCAUUUCAAUUUUUUUUUUCUCAAAAAUUCAAUGACAAUAAUAUUACGCAACAUCUCAGUACCCGCACCGUGGUCGGCAAUGUUGUUAAUUCGUGUCUCGAUCGUACACACUAUUCGUUAGGACGGUAUACCUACUUCCUACAUAUUAUAUUAUUAUUUUAUUUUAUUCGAGUUUUAGUAAUUUAUUACAUUUUGUUAAAAUAUUAAUUUAUUAUUUCGUAUUUUUCUGUUUUGUUUUUUUUUUUACGAAUAAGGUGUUUAUAGUUAUAUUAUUCACCGGAAUGUGCACGGAUAUAGGUACCCCAAAUUACGUGUUAUUAUGUUUGUUAGUGCGCAUUAUAAUAUUAUUAUUGUUCAUCUCAUCUAGUGCGCCGCGAUGUCUGCGGACAUCCGGAUACUACAUUGUAUAUUAUAAUAAAUCGCCGCAUACCUCUAUCGACAACAUACCUAAUAUUUCUACUAUUAAUUUAUUAAUUUAUUAAUAUUUAAGUUUUUUUAUUUUUGUCUUAUUUAGAAUAAUAUUAUAUAGGUAUAUAGCUUUCGUGACAACGACGUGACACAUUCGUGACGACGUGUUCAGAUACAUAUACCUAUAUUAUUAUAAUAAUGCUUCCUAACAACUAUGUACCCAUUUCACAUAUUGUAAAUAAUCGCUGUACUUUGUUUUACUUAUAUAUAUAUAUAUAUAGAUAUAUCGCAUAAUAUUAUGUGUGUAUGUGUUUUUUAAUUAUUUUUUUUUUUUUAAACAUAUUAUAAUAUAAUUAUUAUUAUUACUGUAAACGAAUAUCGCUGUUUUAUUGGUCGUAAUCGACGUGCAUGCAAUACACUUUCACAGUUAACAAGUAGCUACAUAGUAUAUGCGUGUAGAUGCAUUAGUCCUUGAGUACAAUGUUCGAAGAACAGUGUACAAUAUGUUCACUUAAGUACCGACUGUUACGCUGUGCGAGUACCUAGUCACACAGAUAUAUAUCAUGAGUUAGUGUGUUUCGGCGACCGGUUGAAUCGACGUGACAGUUUCGAAUAUUGCAAAGUCCGUUUACAUUUUUUUCAAAUUGCUUUCGUCGCAGCAAGCUUUUACCAUCAUAAUAACCGAUGAUCGAAUAUUAUAUCCGAUAAUAACUAAGGUAAUUGCAAAUUACAAUUCGUUCAUAAUGUAAUUUUUUUUUCUACGACAUUCAGA